ensembl:lncRNA
AAAAAGUUAGUGGACAAGUUGCUUGUAGUCAUGACGACCGAUGUCUCCUCCUUCCAGAGUCCUUGUCCCACCACAUCGUCAACACACCAAACCGCAGCCCGUUGUUUUUUCAUUAAGUAGAAAUGUUUUGUACCUUCAAGUUAUUUGGCAAUUAGUAAAAAGUACACAAAGAUACAUGCAACAGUACAAACAUGUGCGUUUCAUAUGCAGGUUGUGCAUACACAGUGUGUUUACAUACAGUGGAAGUGUGUGUGUGUGCGCGUGUGUGUUUGUUUGUGAGCACGUCCUUGAAAAAGAGCCAUACAUGUUGGCCUGGCGCCGCCCCCCCCGCCGCGGCCCCUCCAUCUAUUUCUGGCCCUGCGUCACGCCUGGGCUUCACUCCUGUGGCAAGAAGAGUGUUUCUCUAGGGCUCCCACUCUGCUACACACACACACACACACACACACACACACACACACACGCGCGGCUGUCUGGGGAAUGAGCACGCUCAGAUGUAAACACACAAGUGAUGGACGGACUGGAGAACGGAUGGAUGGACGGAUGGAUGCUGACCAGAUGGACAUAAUGGGAGUUCAAACUGGGAGUGCAUGUGUGUGUGUCUGCGUGUGCAAGCACAUGUGUGUGUGCCACUGAAAGCAAAAGGAAGGGAGAGAGAGAGAGAGAGAGAGAGAGAGAGGGAGAGAGAGAGAGAGAGAGAGAGAGAGAGGUGUUUCUGUUACCGUGGCGAUGGAAGGAGUGUGUGAACACAGAGGAAUGCUUUCGGUGGAAGAGAGGGAGAGCCGGCCAGGUUGGUUUACUGUCUGUCUGUCUCUCUGACUGUCUGUCUCUCUGUCCUGUCUCUCUGUCCUGUCUCUCUGUUCUGUCUUUCUACUUUUCUCUCCUGUUUAUGGAGUCUUUCUUUUAUUUUUACUAUAUGUGACUUUUGUUUUUUACUCUGUUACGGGGUUCUUCUUGUGUGCGCGUUUGUGUGCGUCUGUCUAUGUGUGUGUGUGUGUGUGUGUGUGUGCGUGCGUGCGUUUGUGUUUGAUACGUCCAAGCAGGGGGGAUGUCCUCGUCUACCGUUGUCGUAGCGACGCAGCAGCUGUGAAUGACAACGUGUUGAGUCGUGUGUGUGACAAGAUGUGACAUCAGGUCCUCCUGCCUGUCUGUCCUUCUGUCCACCUGUGUGCCUGUCUGUCCUUCUGUCUACCUGUCUGUCUGUCUCUCCUUCUGUCUACCUGUCCGGCUGUCUGUCUGUCUAUCUUUUAAAACCUUCAUCACCCUCUGUUCUCUCCCAGGGCUCUGAUGCUAAUGGACACACACACACACACUGUCUCACACAGUGGUGUCAGUUCCGUCCAUUAACCAAGGGUUGCCACCUACACACACACACACACACACACACACACACACACACACACACACACACACACACAAACACACGCACACAAACAAACGCACACACACUCACUCGUAGCCUUGAGAACGGAGGAUUGUGAGAAAAUUGGAUGAACUGUGUGUGUGUUUGUGUGUGUGUUUGUGUUUCAUGUCUCCCUCUCAGCUGGGACCUUCUUUGUAUUACGUGCUACACACAGCAGUACAUACACACACACACACCCACACACACAGGGGGAAGACGUGUGAUAUCAGCGACCUUGAGAGCGAGUCCUCGUCAUCUUCUCGGCCUUCUGUUUAUUUUAUUGGACCUUUCUACUUCUUCUGUUUCCUCGUAUCCUUUCUUCCUCUCCUCUUCCUUUCAUCUUCUCCCCUCAUCUAAUCUCUGCCUGUCCCUGUGACCAUUGGGGGUGUUUUUAUUUAAAAUUUUGCUUGAUUACUUGAUUUUUUUAAUUUAAUUUAAUUGAUUUAUAUUUCAUGCCAUCAAAACAUGUUUAUAGUUUAAUACAACUACAUAUUUAAUAGUUUACCAAGAGACAGCGAAAGAGAUGAACGUCUGAUAAAAAACUAGCAGACCAGCAGAAGGACAACAAAGGUACACACACAGGUACAAAGGUACACAGCAACAUGACAUGAGGGACAGAUAGAGACAGGGACAGUAAGACAGACAGACAGGCAGACAGAGACAGACAGAUAGACGCUCCUGUCCUCCGGGGAGACGCGUAGGAAGUCCAUGCUGCUCGGCCAAGUGUGUUAAACCAAUUUUCCAUUCACAAAUUCUCAGACAGUGAAGUGUGCUUCUUCUGCCCUGGUAUGUGCACGUGUGUGUUUGCUGUGCACGUGUGUGUGUGUGCAUGAGGCGGAGUAGGUCUGUGUGUGUGUCAAACACGUCCCGAUAACACUGGUGUUUGUUUUUGUUGUUUUAGGGGGCGGGACCUCGAAGGUGAGGACUUUGCUCCCCUGGAGAAGCGCUAGAUUAGCAGCUAACGGCUAAUCCCAAACCCAUCCACUGACUCAUGGCGCUAACCGCCCCCCCGUACACUCUGCGGUUUUAUUUUAGCAGCGUGUAUUUGCGUGCGGUAUGAAAAUGAUCCUGCAGAGACAUUCGAUCCCUCACAGGAAACACUUUUAUUUUUUCUGAAUGCCAUGUUCUUGAUGCUCGUCUGGCAGCAGUUUCUCAGCAAAAUGUCUCUCCUGCUGCUGCAGGAGGAAGCACGUUUAAAUACCGGAGACGUGGUGAUUGGUUGAUAAUAUCAUGAUAUGUAUGUGGAUAGAUGGAUAGUUAGUUCGGUGGGUAGGUAUAUAGAUGGAUGGAUGGAAGGAUGGAUAGAUAGAUGGAUGGAUAGAUAGAUGGAUGGAUAGAUGGAUGGAUGGAUGGAUAGAUACUCAUGAACAGAUCUUGGUAUUCCUUCAUCUAUUUGGGUCUGACCUAUAUUUUUGUGUCGUAGCUCAACCUCAAAACUUGUGUUACCAAACACAAGCUGGCAUCGUCUUAGUAUCACACACACACACACACACACACUCAGGACAGGUGGCUGCAUCACCUUGGCGUCCAGUGUUACGACUCCACAUUCAUCUCUCUCUCUGCAGGUAUAAGACCCUCAAACCUUCUGUGCUGCAAACACUGCCAGGACCCCACACACACACACACACACAGCAGGUAGUGGCAGUAUAUCAUAGCCUCUGGUUGGACUGGCGAGGAGAGCUUCACGAUGGGAGGGUGUAGGGGGGGCAGAUGGUUAGGAGGUGGAUGCAGGAACGGAGGGAUGUGAUGGGAUGAGGGGGGGAUGUGAUGUGUAGAAGGGGCGAUGAUGCUUCAGGAGGGUGGGGGAGUGAUGAAGGGGGGUGUAGGAGGAGUCAUAGUGGCAUGAAAGGUCAAAAUAACUCACUUAAAACUCGUCUCCAGGUUUGAAUAACGUUGCAGCAUUCCACCAGCUCGGUGGGAUGAUGCUGAGUGAAUAAAGGAGCGAUAGAACAGAUUUUCCUCCUCCUGCUGUUCAGAUCCUUCCCUGCCUGUCCUCUCCAUGCCCCGUCAUCCAGCUUCCCUUAAUACACCGUCCUCCUCCAACACUCCCCCCACCACAGGUUCUAUCCACCAACUUUUCUCUGCGUGGAGUAAAAUAUAGUGUUUUUAAGUGUGUGUCUGUAGAGUAAGUAUGUGUGGGUGAGUGUGUGUGUGUGUGUGUGUGUAGGUAAGUGUGUGUGUGUGUGUGUGUGUGUGUGUGGGUGAGUGUGUGUGUGUGGGUGAGUGUGUGUGUGUGUGUGUGGGUGAGGUUGGAAUGUGGAGGCUCGUAAGUCACCUCUGAUUUUUCCACUCCCGCUGGGUCACAUCCCAUUAUCAGUUUUAUACGAAAGUAGGAAAUUCCUCUGUGGUCUGUGUGUGUGUGUGUGUGUGUGUGUGUGUGCAUGUGUGUGUAAGUGCGUGUGUGUCUUGGGGGCCGGGGUGGUGAGGAGGGGGGGGUUCUGGUUCCAUAACGAGUUGAGCAUUUUCCUUCCCUUUUCCCUCUCUGCAGUGCAGCACAUCUUGACAUACAUGACACACGCAUGUUGAAGGUUCCCUGCUCCUAUUAGGGAUUCAUCUGUAGCUUGUUUCAUGCUGUGUUGGUUGACGGCUGGUUGGCGGCUGGUUGACGGUUGGUUUGGUCUUGGCGUCUUCUUAUUUGUGGGUGAGGUCGUUUUCUUUGUCCUCUUUAGGAAAAGUGUGCAGUUAAUAAGCGUCACGCGUUCUCAGGAGCAGAGAACAUGCUCAAAUAAUACAAAACAAAAUGAUUGUAUUUGUAGUUCACUAAAAGAACCCUCUCACUAACAAUAAUAACCUGCUUGAAAUGCAUGCCAUCCUUUACGCACACGCUCGCUGUAGCGUACUAUUGUUGUUCUGCAGCGAAUGUCUGAUGUUUAGAGACGCAGGAAACAAACCACAGCCGUCUGUGGUCGCAGGAGACGCGUCCACAGGAGGACAGAAGAGGGGAAAACAAAAGACAGAAAAGGGAAGAGAUGAGAAUAGAAUCCAGAACGACGCUUUACUUCAGUCGGGGAUGUUCAACCCGUCUCUGUCCGUCCUCUGUCCUCAGGCUCAAGACUCAGAAUAUCUGGAUCUACAGGUUGUUGUUUUUUAUUUCCAUUGAUUUCAGUUGUUGUCUGCGAGCCUUUAUCGGCUAACAGACUCCAACAUUCUGCUCCUGGAUCAGAACUCAGAUCCAGACCGGGUCCGGUGGGUCCUGCUGGCGGCCUCCCAGCUGCAGACGUCUCCUCCAGAUGUUGUGCACUUGUGACCUUGUUGCAUAUCGGCCCGUCUCUCCCUCUGCUAAACUGACAUUGUUGUCUUUCCACACUUCAUUUAAGAGUCGAUGUAGAUGUGAUCCUGUAUAUGUAAUCCUGUAGAUUGUGAUCCUGUAGAUGUGAUCCAUGUAGAUGUGAUCCUGUAGUGUGAUCCUGUAGAUGUGAUCCAUGUAGAUGUGAUCCUGUAGUGUGAUCCUGUAGAUGUGAUCCUGUAGAUGUGAUCCAGUUUGUGGGAAAGCAAUAGUUAAUUUCCCUUUAGAGCCUGUGGCGUCACAUGACUUACAUCAUAGGUCUGUUCACCUUCACACUAAUGAGCUCUGAUUAAAUGCAUGAAAUCUCGUCCUUCCAUCCAAUCAUCACGUUUGUGCUCACCUGAUAGUGAUGCUUGGUUGAACCAACAUGACACACUUACAGUCACCUUCAUAUGUGUGUAUAAGGGGAUUAUGGGUAAAAGUGUAGAAUAAAAGAGAUCAUGUUGUUAAGAUAUAAAAGAGAAGAAUGAACACAGAGAAAAGCUCCAUUCAGACGGAUGGAAACACUGGACUCGCCGACUGUAUGUGUGUGUGUGUGUGUGUGCGCGUGUUUGUGUGCGUGUGUGAGUGUGUGUGUGACAGACAUGAAACAGAAAAACAGUGUCACAGUUUUCCCUGCCUUCCUCCUGGCAGACUGCAGCGAGAGGACGACUCGGAAAAAUCUGAUCUCAAAACAGCCGUCCCUGUGUGUGUGUGUGUGUGUUUGUGUGUGUGCGUGCGUGUGUGUGUGUGUGCGUGUGUGUGUGUGCGUGUGUCCACUUCUGUCAUUGUGCGUUCUGUUGUUUUCCAUCCAUUACAUUGACGGCAUGUUUGUGUGUCUUUUAUCCUUUUCCGUCUGUGUGUGUAGUUGUGUGUGUGGUUGUGUGAUUGUGUUUCCGUUUUUGCCACAAAUCAGAUCAACUGAAGGAACUUUUCCUGCUUCUCUCUGUUUCUCCCCCUUUUUCUCCCCUGCUUAACCUUCCUCCCUUUUCCACACUUUUUACUUUACUCACGCUUGUUUUUUUCUCUCUUAGUCCCCC